rnacentral:rRNA from 1 species
UACGUAGGGGGCUAGCGUUGUCCGGAAUUAUUGGGCGUAAAGAGCUCGUAGGCGGCUUGUCACGUCGGUUGUGAAAGCCCGGGGCUUAACCCCGGGUCUGCAGUCGAUACGGGCAGGCUAGAGUGUGGUAGGGGAGAUCGGAAUUCCUGGUGUAGCGGUGAAAUGCGCAGAUAUCAGGAGGAACACCGGUGGCGAAGGCGGAUCUCUGGGCCAUUACUGACGCUGAGGAGCGAAAGCGUGGGGAGCGAACAGG